rnacentral:rRNA from 1 species
AACGAACGCUGGCGGCAUGCCUAACACAUGCAAGUCGAACGAGACCUUCGGGUCUAGUGGCGCACGGGUGCGUAACGCGUGGGAACCUGCCCUUAGGUUCGGAAUAACUCCCCGAAAGGGGUGCUAAUACCGGAUAAUGUCUUCGGACCAAAGAUUUAUCGCCUUUGGAUGGGCCUGCGUUGGAUUAGCUAGUUGGUAGGGUAAAAGCCUACCAAGGCGACGAUCCAUAGCUGGUCUGAGAGGAUGAUCAGCCACACUGGGACUGAGACACGACCCAGACUCCUACGGGAGGCAGCAGUAGGGAAUAUUGGACAAUGGGCGAAAGCCUGAUCCAGCAAUGCCGCGUGAAUGAUGAAGGCCUUAGGGUUGUAAAGCUCUUUUACCCGGGAUGAUAAUGACAGUACCGGGAGAAUAAGCUCCGGCUAACUCCGUG